GUUUGAUCAUGGCUCAGAUUGAACGCUGGCGGCAUGCCUUACACAUGCAAGUCGAACGGCAGCACGGGUGCUUGCACCUGGUGGCGAGUGGCGAACGGGUGAGUAAUACAUCGGAACGUACCUUAUCGUGGGGGAUAACGCAGCGAAAGCUGUGCUAAUACCGCAUACGCCCUGAGGGGGAAAGCGGGGGAUCGAAAGACCUCGCGCGAUUAGAGCGGCCGAUGCCUGAUUAGCUUGUUGGUGGGGUAAAAGCCCACCAAGGCGACGAUCAGUAGCUGGUCUGAGAGGACGAUCAGCCACACUGGGACUGAGACACGGCCCAGACUCCUACGGGAGGCAGCAGUGGGGAAUUUUGGACAAUGGGGGAAACCCUGAUCCAGCAAUGCCGCGUGAGUGAAGAAGGCCUUCGGGUUGUAAAGCUCUUUUGUCAGGGAAGAAACACCGGCUCUAACACAGUCCGGGAAUGACGGUACCUGAAGAAUAAGCACCCGGCUAACUACGUGCCAGCAGCCGCGGUAAUACGUAGGGUGCGAGCGUUAAUCGGAAUUACUGGGCGUAAAGCGUGCGCAGGCGGUUAUACAAGACAGGCGUGAAAUCCCCGGGGCUUAACCUGGGAAUGGCGCCUGUGACUGUAUAGCUAGAGUGUGUCAGAAGGGGGUAGAAUUCCACCGUGUAGCAGUGAAAAUGCGUAGAUAUGUGGGAGGAAUACCCAAUGGCGAAAGCAGCCCCCCUGGGAUAACACUGGACGCUUCAUGCAACGAAAGCGUGGGGGAGCAAACAGGAUUAGAUACCCUGGUAGUCCACGCCCCUAAACGAUGCUGACUAGUUGUUCGGGAUUUACAUCCCUGAGNAAACGUAGCUAACGCCGUGAAAGUCAGCCGCC
rnacentral:rRNA from 1 species